rnacentral:rRNA from 1 species
CCUACGGGAGGCAGCAGUGGGGAAUAUUGGACAAUGGGGGCAACCCUGAUCCAGCGAUGCCGCGUGAGUGAAGAAGGUUUUCGGAUUGUAAAGCUCUUUCAGCCGGGACGAAGAUGACCGUAACCUCUGAAGGAACACCCGCAAACUUCGGUCCAGCAGCCGCGGUAAUAAGAAGGGUGCGAGCGUUGAUCGGAAUUACCGGGGGUAAAGGGAGUGGAGGAGGCUAUGUAAGAUGGCGGUGAAAGGCCGGAGCUCAACCCCGGAAUUGCCUUUAUGACUAUGUAUCUGGAGUAACGGAGAGGAUAGCGGAAUACCCAGUGUAGAGGUGAAAUUCGUAGAUAUUGGGUAGAACACCAGUGGCGAAGGCGGCUAUCUGGCCAUUUACUGACGUUGAGGCUCGAAAGCGUGGGGAUCAAACAGGAUUAGAUACCCGUGUAGUC